UCUCUCUCUCUCUCUUUCUUCUUACUUGGGUCUCUUCUAUCCCUGUCUCCCUCACUCAUUUCUGACGAGAGACAAAGGCAAAAGGAUUAGAAAUAAUUAUAAUACUUAAGUACUUAUUUGUAAAUCAAAAUAUAGAGUAUACUUAAGUAUAAUAUACUUCCAAAUUUUUAGCAUUCAAGACCUAAACUUCCCUUUUUUUGGCACUUAAGGAAGAUGUACUUUUAACUUUUGACACUUAAAG
rnacentral:misc_RNA from 1 species